CACCACCACCACAUCACCACAUCACUACUACAUACUACCAUCACCAUCACACUGCUGCCAUCGUCAUCACCAUCACUAUCAGCUCCUACUCUACCACCAUGAUCAGUCAGCUACGCCGUAUGGUCACGAGUCCGGCGUUACCGACGCGGUUCUUGCAGCCGUGCACAGUAUAAAACUGGAGCGACAUUAAAAUAUGCCGAAUGUUGGAAACCGUUGCGGAGAGUCGCUCCAACACUUUUAAACAUAUCGGAGCGGUCGCCAUGCUACUCAUCACGCUGUAUUUUAUCGUGGCGAUCUCGAUCGCUGUCGCGAUAAGUCGCAUUCCAAAAUAAUACAUCAAACGAUUUCGGGAUUCUCGUUGUCGGCAUGUUUUCAGAUUGCCCUCGGAGCAAACUCGGCUCUCGGCUGCUGUCGUUCUCCCCUUCUCUCUCAAAAUCGAUAAACUAUGAUACUUAUUGCGUUAUGGCCAUUACGGGCCAUCGGGACUGGAUCAAGGGCAUGGUUCUACAACUGGAAGAUGGGGGGGGGGAGGGGAAGGGGAAUUAUCGUUGCACGCGUGUGUAGGCGAUUUUAGAGUUUACAUUCCCUUUUGCCUACUUUGUGUAAAGUACGUUAACCAAUCUCUCUCUCGCUCCCUCGCUCCCUCUUUUUCGUACGCGCAACACGCGCGCGCACACGCACACACCUUUAGCACGCGCCGCUUUGAAGUACGCGGGGGCGAAGUCACAGGACAGCUUCGCGAGCUAAACGUUUAUCGAAUGAAACGAGAUAUCAAACAUAAAUUUAAAUUCUAUAUCGGGACACUCGUAAUCGGG